UUCUUCACGCCCUUGGAAAUAGAGAGUAGCCGUCCAUAGAGAGUGAGGAGUUAACCUUAGUUUCAGUGAAGAUGGCUGUAAGAAGCUGGACAACCUGUCACCACCGGAGCCAGAGCAUUUGUCAGCUCACAGGUCCCAAGUUAUUUUGAGCUGUAUAAACCAUGUGCCUGUGAAACAUUCCACCUGAUUGGACAGGAGAAAACUGAGCAAAGGGAUUCCAUAGCAGGACAGCACCUAUGG
rnacentral:lncRNA from 1 species